rnacentral:miRNA from 2 species
UUCCUUCUGGUCAAUGAGAAACAACAACACCAUUGACCAGCAGGAAUCCCUUCCAGUUGAUGAGGCUGCUACACCUCAUUGAUCAGAAGGAAUCCCUUCUGGUCAAUGAGGCUGCUACACCUCACCACCUGGGAGGGAUUCCUUCCGGUCAACGGUGUUGUUGUUUCCCAUUGACCGGAAGGAA